rnacentral:rRNA from 1 species
CUACGGGUUGCUGCAGGCGAGAAAACUUUGCAAUGUGCGAAAGCACGACAAGGUUAAUCCGAGUGGUUUGUGCUAAACGAACCUUUUGACAGUCCUAGAAACACUGUUGAAUAAGGGGUGGGCAAGUUCUGGUGUCAGCCGCCGCGGUAAAACCAGCACCUCAAGUUGUCAGGAUGAUUAUUGGGCCUAAAGCAUCCGUAGCCGGCUCUGUUAGUUUUCGGUUAAAUCUGUAUGCUCAACAUACAGGCUGCCGGGAAUACUGCAGAGCUAGGGAGUGGGAGAGGUAGACGGUACUCGGUAGGAAGGGGUAACAUCCUUUGAUCUAUUGAUGACCACCUGUGGCGAAGGCGGUCUACCAGAACACGUCCGACGGUGAGGGAUGAAAGCUGGGGGAGCAAACCGGAUUAGAUACCCCCGUAGUC